UAUUCUGCCCUACAGGGAAGGAUGAGAAGCUUCGACUAAGGUUCGACUCGAGCGAAGCGAGAGAACGUUGCC
rnacentral:sRNA from 1 species